rnacentral:rRNA from 1 species
GUAGGUCCCAAGGGUAUGGCUGUUCGCCAUUUAAAGUGGUACGCGAGCUGGGUUUAGAACGUCGUGAGACAGUUCGGUCCCUAUCUGCCGUGGGCGCUGGAGAAUUGAGGGGGGCUGCUCCUAGUACGAGAGGACCGGAGUGGACGCAUCACUGGUGUUCGGGUUGUCAUGCCAAUGGCACUGCCCGGUAGCUAAAUGCGGAAGAGAUAAGUGCUGAAAGCAUCUAAGCACGAAACUUGCCCCGAGAUGAGUUCUCCCUGACUCCUUGAGAGUCCUGAAGGAACGUUGAAGACGACGACGUUGAUAGGCCGGGUGUGUAAGCGCAGCGAUGCGUUGAGCUAACCGGUACUAAUGAACCGUGAGGCUUAACCUUACAACGCCGAAG